rnacentral:lncRNA from 1 species
AAGUUUACAAUUCUGGUUUGAGAGCUUCAGAGUUGGCCGAGAUCGAGAGGCGCCGCCGGGUUGAGCAGGAUGAGGCAGCUGCUAUGGAGAGGGAGAUGUUGGAUGUGGAUGGGCUGAAUCUAAACUUGAAUAGCCCUUUCACAAACUACUUCACUGGCCAGCCGGAUGACACCGUUUGACGUCUUUGGUUAUGAUUUUCUGCUGCUGCUACUCUACUACUCUAUCUUUACUUUUACUUUCGUCUACUUUACUUUCGUUGGUUUGUAAUAAUAAUUUGAUGUUGCUUGGAUAUUGGCUGGAUGUUUUAUUUGUGUA